ensembl:lncRNA
GGGAGGGAGGGGAGGGAGAAAGAGGGAGACGGAGGAGAGAGACCCUGACCAAUGUGUGGCUGAGCGUGGAGCCCCCUGAGGGGCAGACCCUGUGGGUGAACGCGUGGCUCGGGGACUCCACCUACCUGAGCUGUGAGGCCCCAGAGGCGGAGCGCUCACUGGACCUCCGCUUCUGGUGGGAGAAGGACGGGGUCCCGGUGCCGCACGACCAUGAGGAUAAAGAUCGUUUCCACGUGGAGACGGACGGUAACCAUGUGGGUCUGAUCAUCAGCCAGGUACUGAUCACCGACAGGGGGGUCUACCACUGCUUCUUCCAAUCACGGCCCUCUCAAGAGCCGAGGCGAGGGUCUCCAGAAAUCGUGAAAUUGACCGUUUUGGGAUCGGAGCACUUGGACGACGAGGAGAUGGGCCCCGAGGCUACUCCAUCGACGGAGCCUUCUACGCCACAGGAUGAGGAGGAGGAGGUGCCGACCCCCUCGGACCCCACCCUGCUGGAGAGCCCCCUACUCCUCUCCGAUGACACCCUCGGUGGGCAGGACAACAGCCAUGGGGAUGAUGUGCCCUGGGUUCGAAUCACCAUCAUGACCAGUGUUCUGGCCAUCACUGCCGUCACGCUUUGCAUCCUAAGAGCCCGGUACAUAAUCUGACCAUAGAGCGCGCCUUCGAUCAGUAUCUGAGAUCGGAAGUUAGAGCCGCAGCGAUUUGACCAUUCAGAGAAAAGAUGUGCAAAAAAUGUUUGUGAUCUUUUCUAUGGGAAGCUCAUUCACAGAACAUUGUGUUUUCUUUUUACAAAUAUGUAUUGCGCGAAUCCGUUAUGUGCAAUCUUUGGAAUUUCCGUAGUGUUUUAUCGAGUAAUAAAAAAAUAGUUUUAUCAUUUAUCUGGAAAGCAGAACCCGAGGGACCCAAGGCACUAAGAGUGUGGAUUUCGGUAAAUAUUUUAUUUCAUGACCCCCCAGAAAAUAAAUACAUUUUAUUUAUAAAAUAUUAUUCUCAACUUCUAAACGUCUUUAAACGAAAAAAAAAAAAAAGGCCUUUUUUUUAUGCAUUUCUGUUUUAAUGAAGGAACAUCUUUAGAGAUUGCCAAUGAAAAUGAAAAUGUUCAUCUGCUAACAUUUUCAUGAAACUGUUAUUAUCAUUAUUCAGUAAUUAUGCAAACUUAUUGUGUCAAAGGAACACGAUGUGAUGACAGACAACCUCAGAUGCUCUUUACCUCCCAGCAAUAGCAUAAAGCUUUUAUAUAUAGCAACUGGUACAGUAUACAUGACCACUCCAAGCUCAGAAUAUCCGAGGGAGGGAGGGAGAGAGAGAGAGAGAGAGAGAGAGAGAGAGAGAGAGAGAGAGAGAGAGAGAGAGAGAGAGAGAGAGAGAGAGAGAGAGAGAGAGAGAGAGAGAGAGAGAGAGAGAGAGAGAGAGAGAGAGCGCGAGAGAGCGAGAGCGAGCCCACUGCACCGUCAGUCAAAGGACGUCGGAAGGCGUGGCUGACGGAUGGGGGAGCUUUCCAGGGUCGUCACGCCUCGUGCCCACUACCUCCGUCCGUUGACUGAUCCCCAUUGACUUUGAAUGGGGACGGACGUGCAAUGCAUUGUGGAUCCGUGCGCUGAAGGCUCCGUCAAAAAGUUUAAAAAUGUUCAACUUUUUCAGCAGCGACGGAUCCGUCAUCCAAUCAGAAUACGUAUGCCAAUUUAAGCACUGUGACACUACUCGGGCUCUGACGACCCUGGAAACCUGCCCCAUCCGUCAGCCACUCCUUCCCAGUCCUUUGACUGACGGUGCAGUGGGCACGAGGCGUGAGCCCGAGUAGUGUCACAGUGCUCACAUUUGCAUACGUGAUCUGAUUGGAUGACGGUUCCGUCGCUGCCGAAAAACAUUUUUCAACUUUUUGACGGAGCCAAAGGCUCCAACGGAGCGCACGGAUCCACAAUGCAGUCCGUCCGUCCCCGUUCAAAGUCAAUGGAGAUCAGUCAAUGGACGGAAGCAGUGGGCACGAGGCGUGAGAAGGGAG